rnacentral:rRNA from 1 species
AUACGGAGGAUGCGAGCGUUAUCCGGAUUUAUUGGGUUUAAAGGGAGCGUAGGUGGGAUAUUAAGUCAGCUGUGAAAGUUUGGGGCUCAACCUUAAAAUUGCAGUUGAUACUGGUUUCCUUGAGUACGGUAUAGGUGGGCGGAAUUCGUGGUGUAGCGGUGAAAUGCUUAGAUAUCACGAAGAACUCCGAUCGCGAAGGCAGCUCACCGGGGCGGGACUGACACUGAUGCUCGAAAGUGCGGGUAUCAAACAGGAUUAGAUGCCCUGGUAGUCCGCACAGUAAGCGAUGAAUACUCGCUGUUUGCGAUACACUGUAAGCGGCCAAGCGAAAGCGUUAAGUAUUCCACCUGGGGAGUACGCCGGCAACGGUGAAACGCAAAUGAAUUGACGGGG